rnacentral:rRNA from 1 species
GUAAACCGCUUCAGCAGGGACGAAGCGACAGUGACGGUACCUGCAGAAGAAGCCCCGGCCAACUACGUGCCAGCAGCCGCGGUAAUACGGUAGGGGGCGAGCGUUGUCCGGAUUUAUUGGGCGUAAAGAGCUCGUAGGUGGCUGUUCAAGUCGGGUGUGAAAUCCCAAGGCUCAACCUUGGGUCUGCAUUCGAUACUGGGUGGCUUGAGUCUGGGUAGGGGACCUGGAAUUCCUGGUGUAGCGGUGGAAUGCGCAGAUAUCAGGAGGAACACCGGUGGCGAAGGCGGGGUCCUGGGCCAGUACUGACGCUGAGGAGCGAAAGCGUGGGGAGCAAACAGGAUUAGAUACCCUGGUAGUCCACGCUGUAAACGAUGGGUGCUAGGUGUGGGGGGUUAUCGACUCCUUCCGUGCCGCAGCUAACGCAGUAAGCACCCCGCCUGGGGAGUACGGCCGCAAGGCUA